UUGUUUGUGUUGUUGGGUUCGAUCAGAAGGCAGGGGGCGACUUCAAGCUCCCCAAAACCCUAGUUCACAUCAAAAACCACCAAUUGAAGGAUCAAAUCAAGUCCAAAACGAAAAUCGAGCAUAUAUUCGUGAUCCCCAUUGAAAGGAGAUCAUAAGGUAUGUGAAAAUUCAUGAAAAUCCUCUACUUGAAAUUCUCAUGAAUUUGGGAAAUCUGAAAUUUGAUGAUGCAUGUUUGUUAAUUUGAUAGAAUAGGGAUGAUAUAAUGUCUAGGAGUAAAACCCUAGUCAAUCACAUGUUGAAAUCAUGCUUAUUUCUUAUGAAUUCACAAUCACCAUUGAAGGUGAUAAGUGGGUGUAGUAGGAACAUGUUAAACACUAGAAUUUUAAUUGUGGUUCUAGUGUAAUUUGAGUUCUAGGAAGUAAAUUCAGAUUUUUGUUAAUGUGAAAAUUUAUGUAAACAUGCUUAGUUGAUGUUAACCAUGGCUAAAUGACAAGUAUUGAGCUUGUUAAUAAAUUGUGAGAAAUUAUGCCCGCAAGGUGUUUUUUAAAAUGCCUAAGUGAAUGUUAUAUGUUGAGAUUACGAAUGAAACGCGUAAUUGCCUUGUUUGACUAAAUACGUAAGGUGGAAUAGUCGUGAAUUGAAAUGACUAAUCUAACCACCUUGUGAAUAAUGAUAGUUUGUCGCCUAACGAGCUAGGUGGAGGCUUGGAAAAGAAGCGGUCAAACGAAUCAAGCACGAGAAGAAAACGUAUUCGGAUGCGAGGUAAGUAGAGCUUACGCCCCUUUACAUUAUUUGCAAAGUUACUUAAUUUCAAGUCAUGAUAUGAAUGCUACUAAGUGGUUGGUAUAUGAUAUUCCGACGCGAUUCAAUGAGAGUUGGAAUGAGGGGAAAAUGGUAAAUUAGUCAUGUAAUGACGAAUAAUUAAAAACGGUUUUAAGUAAAACAAGUUCAAAGAAAACCGGGAUAGGUAAAAGGGGUGAAAUGGUAAUUAAAUACCAUCUCAACACGGACAAAUGGUCAAUUAGACUAAAUGGGUCAAAUGGUGUGGAUAACACCAUUUGGCAAUAACAAUUGACAAUCGCUUGUUGAGUUUUGUGAUUUCAGGAAAUAACAUGUGUUGCGUUGCUUUAAUUAGAAAAUUUAAAGCAAGAAGUAUGUAAACGGGUCAAUACUAUGAUCCGAGCCAGGUGAAGAUGGGAUAAGCGGUUUGAAAGAUACGAAAGUUUUCGUGCAAAUAAACGGCAAAAUAGGAAAGCUGGAAUGCAGGGGCCACCGUAACUUACGGUGCCACCGUAAGUUACGGUGGAGCUGAAGGCUUUACGGCAGCCCCAUACUGAUUUACGGUUCUUUUUGGAUGCCGGAAGACGAUCAAGCUCGUCGAAGGACCGAACACGAUAAAGAUACAUGCUUCCGCACAUUUCCUCGUCGUAAAUUUUUAAACGACAAACUCGAUCACUUAUGUUGAAUAACUUAUGAUUUGUAAAAGUUUUAAUAAACUCGUAUUU
rnacentral:lncRNA from 1 species